rnacentral:rRNA from 1 species
UUCCGGUUGAUCCUGCCGGAGGACAUUGCUAUUGGGAUUCGAUUUAGCCAUGCUAGUCGAGCGAGUUUAGACUCGCGGCGAAUAGCUCAGUAACACGUGGCCAAGCUCCCCUUCAGUCAGCGAUACCCUCGGGAAACUGAGGUUAACAGCUGAUACAAAACGUUUGCUGGAAUGCGGCGUUUCAGAAAGAUCACGCUGAAGGAUGCGGCUGCGGCCGAUUAGGUAGACGGUGGGGUAACGGCCCACCGUGCCAGUAAUCGGUACGGGUGAUGAGAGUCAGAGCCCGGAGACGGAAUCUGAGACAAGAUUCCGGGCCCUACGGGGCGCAGCAGGCGCGAAACCUUUACACUGCACGGAAGUGCGAUAGGGGAAUCCCAAGUGCGAGGGCAUAUUAGCCCUCGCUUUUCUCGACUGUAAGGUGGUCGACGAAUAAGAGCUGGGCAAGACCGGUGC